UAUGGCCAUGUAAGAUUGAAACACUGGUUCCCAUAUGAUCACCAAAGUUAAGCAAUGUCAAGACUGAUCAGUACCUAGAUGGAUAACUGCUUGAGAAUACCAGGUACUGUAAG